GAUGAACGCUGACAGAAUGCUUAACACAUGCAAGUCCACUUGAACUUCGGUUUGGGUGGCGGACGGGUGAGUAACGCGUAAAGAACUUGCCUCACAGAUAGGGACAACAUUUGGAAACGAAUGCUAAUACCUGAUAUUAUGAUUAUAUGGCAUCGUAUAAUUAUGAAAGCUAUAUGCGCUGUGAGAGAGCUUUGCGUCCCAUUAGCUAGUUGGAGAGGUAACGGCUCACCAAGGCGAUGAUGGGUAGCCGGCCUGAGAGGGUGAUCGGCCACAAGGGGACUGACACACGGCCCUUACUCCUACGGGAGGCAGCAGUGGGGAAUAUUGGACAAUGGACCAAGAGUCUGAUCCAGCAAUUCUGUGUGCACGAUGAAGUUUUUCGGAAUGUAAAGUGCUUUCAGUUGGGAAGAAAAAAAUGACGGUACCAACAGAAGAAGUGACGGCUAAAUACGUG
rnacentral:rRNA from 1 species